rnacentral:lncRNA from 1 species
CUCCACUACGCGUCCUUUCCGGAAGAUCGAGUAUCAAAAUAGCUCAAGAAUUGGGGAUGCAGGGUCCCCGCCCCGGUGCUUACCUUCUUUGCGGCUUACACCACCCCGGUGGCUAGAUCCUGGUGAUAAACACUUGCAUUUCCCAAAGUUAACCCAGUAUACCAACCCGGAGCUUGCCAAGAGUCUAUUCCAGCCUACACCGCUAGGAAGCCAACUUCAGCGAGCUCAAUGAGGGGACCAAACUGGGGCUCGCUCUCCAAACGCUCCGCUCCAAAAUCUGACUCUCUCUCCAGCCCCGAUCUCGGUGUGAGCCGAACCUCGGAAAAGACGCUUUUUAAGGGCGACACCGGGUUGGCUUGACAGCGAGGAAAAGAAUACCUGGAUGAAGUACUACCACCUCGGACAAAUCCGCUGGCUCUGUCCAAGGUGCUGAAUGGACUCUGCUCUCCGGGAUCACACACCCGGCGCAGGAGGAGGAAAAGAUGCAGGAAGGUAAUGUGUCUUGUUUGAAGUCAUCAUGUGAGAAGUUCGGCUUUGCUCAGUGGAUCGCCCACCACUUGGUGUGACUUAUGAAUCUAAUAACCCUUCGCAAUAUCCGCAAAGCUUCAACUCUCAUCCACCUUGGCGACUACAGAAGACAAAGCAACUGGCAUCGAUGUUGAAAAACCUAUAGAUUUACGCAAACGCCCUCAUUCUGAGAGACACGUUUCCCUUUGAGUUCUUACGUGAUUCUAAUGAAUGAGCGAGGUUACCAAUGACUGUCCAAUUGCCCUGCUAUAUAGCGGGCGUUUCCUGAAGCAGCUUUCUCAACGCCUGUCACUGAGCCCUAGCACAAAAAGUUCCCAGAGAAAGUGAGGGAGUUUCAGAGUACCCCCAUAAAAAUAAUCCAAUUUGCACGCCGAUCCUUUGCCCACUGCUCAGGUCACACCUGGGGCUCUGGCAAAGAUGAGCUCGGCUCAGGAGAUUUCCCUGUCGCCAGGUAAGAAACCCUUCGCCUUGUCAAGCUAGGGCGGGAAGACCGCUGGGGAACUUGUUGCUUUUCUGCACCAGCCGGCUACUGCUUUAAUAAGAAUACCAGAAAAGCGCAGCGGGGAGGGGGCGAGGGGAGGGGGCCAGGGCAGCCUCUCUGAGCCAGUUACGUGACCAACUCACUGUGACUCCCUUGGUAAAAAGGAAACUUCUUAGAAAAGUUCGUGCCCCUCCCCCACCAUGACUAAGGGUCUCCAGCGGACGUGGUCGUGAGUGAUGAUCAAAUGGGAGGGGGGGGGGGGGCUGGGUGAUGGAGCGGGAGUGACUUGUUCUAGGGAACAACUGCGUGAAUCGAAGAGCGCAUCAGCCCCACAACUUUCCCUUUUCCUCUUAGGGACUGAUGACUAGGCGAGAGGCACCCGGGCGAGCCACUAGUUGCCCACAGGAACCUGUGCAAGCCAAGCUCUCAAGCGGCUUGAGUUGAAUGAAGUUAUGACUGCGUUUGCUCUAAUGGCUUAUGGCUUCUCAAAUGAGAGUUAACAGCCUCUGUGCGCGGCUAGGUCCGCCCUGGAGCUCUGAGCGAAAAGGUGUAGGCUAGGAGGGGAAGAUCGGCGCUAGUCUCCCAGCUCCGCGUCGGCUCCGGCUCCGUGCUUCCUCCCCAGAGUCGCUGCCCUAUUUUGGGUGCUUCCCGGGGUUGAGAACUGAAGCCGCAAGCUCCAGGAGGUGGGCUUCGGGCGGGGGGGCUCUCCCAGGAAGCCUCGCGCUGGCCACUACACUUCCCACUAGUGACUGCGCAGGCUGGGAAGUGGAGAGGUCACGUGUUGGAGGAAAGUAAGUUGGAAGGAAAGAGAUGAACUUCAAGAAGAGUCACAAUAAAAUAAACCUCCUCCCCCCGUAUGUGUGUGCGCGUGUGCGCGGGCGUGUAAAAAUAAUCUCUUGAAAGGCGGAUGCGGUGGGGGAGGGGUGCAGUGGGGGAAGGGCAAGGCCCUUAGGCUGAGAUCCUAGGCAGAUGUCCGGAAAUCUCUAGAAAUGAGCUGUAAGUCCAGAGUUAACCAUAUCCCCCAACAUAGGGAGGCGCUAGCUCCAGGUAUCUCUUCACUAGAGUCUUCCUUUGCCUACCCUCAGCUUAGCUUACGCAGCGAAGCAGAGGAGCCGAGAAUGAAUGUAAUGUAAACCAGUUGUUAUGGAGAUACCCGCAGCUCGGAUGAGUGCGAGUGCCCUGGGAAGUCCCCGGACGCUGCUUUUCAGGUUUCCCCGGUUUGGUGCCGACACCAUGAUUUUGCUCUUCCUCUGGAGUUCCCACCAAUGGACCCCACCAAAGGCAUCACUGGCCCUGGCUGUGGCGCUAUUGACUGCAGGGAUGAGGCAGGGAGAUGUUGCGGAAGAUGGUGGAUAGCUCUGAAGUUUUGGACCACCCAGUCCUUUAAAAUUUCUGUUUCUUUAAUCAAAUCAAAUGUGCUGUGUUUGAAGGGAAUUCGUAGUUCUUGGUGUAUAAAAUCAGAGUUAUACAUAGGAUGAGUUUGAAGAACAUUAGCAUGCAGUGGCUGCUUCAAGGUUCAGGUCCCCUCCCCCUCCUAUCCUAAGAAUGCUUCUUUAAAGAAACCUAAGCGUUACUUCCUUAAUGCCUUCUGUGAAGUUCUGUUCUUGGACUCUCCAUUGGUACUAGAUUAUUAGUAUUAGCAGUAAAUCCAGUGUUGCGCAUUCAUAUGCACCCCUAAAGAGAUGUUUUCAAAGUCAACCCAGAUCAUUCUAGGCUCCAGCCAACAUAUAUUUGUACAAAGGCUUUCUUUACCUCUUAGAGGCUCUUGGUGACCUGGUGUGCAUCAUCACUUAGAGAAUACCAUCCACCAGUUACAGUCACCAAGGCAACAGUUACCUCCAGCUAAAAACAAAAAACAAAAAUCAAAUAAAAAAGAAACAACACUGUU